AUAAUAUUUAAAUUUCACGACUAUUGUCUUUUGUAUGGAAUAACAAUCGGACUUCCCGUCCAAUAGCACUGGAGCACAAGACCAUAACAAACCCCAUAUCAGAUUUCAGAUACAAUAUACUAUUUUCAACUCUACCCGUUUGCCAUUUAAACCACAUAUGCACAUUCAUGCAAGGAAUUAACUAGUUAAUUCAAGUUUUAAUGUUCUUAUUAAUUUCCAUGUAACAAAAUGGAAUUAAAAAUUUCAUUAAUUUUCGGAUUCAUUGGUUUACAGAUUCUCCAGCCGUCUUCUUCUCAUUCGCAUAGUGGUAGUCUUGGGGACAUCGCAUUUAGCUGCCCGGCAGGUCAAUAUUUUAACGGAGGAAACUGUUAUGCUGCAGUGAGUGUACCAAUGACAUGGAGUGAUGCCAAAAGAACGUGCAAAAGGUAAGUCCAGAAUU